ACUCCUACGGGAGGCAGCGGUGGGGAAUAUUGGACAAUGGGCGCAAGCCUGAUCCAGCCAUGCCGCGUGAGUGAUGAAGGCCUUAGGGUUGUAAAGCUCUUUUGUCCGGGACGAUAAUGACGGUACCGGAAGAAUAAGCCCCGGCUAACUUCGUGCCAGCAGCCGCGGUAAUAC
rnacentral:rRNA from 1 species